GACAGAGGGUGCAAACGUUGUUCGGAAUUACUGGGCGUAAAGCGCGGGACAGGCGGCGUCGCAACGUCUGAUGUGAAAUCUCCUCGCUCAACGGGGAGAGGCCAUUGGAAACGGUCGAGCUGGAGGGCAGUAGAGGUAGGCGGAAUUCCGGGUGGAGUGGUGAAAUGCGUAGAGAUCCGGAGGAACACCAGAGGCGAAGGCGGCC
rnacentral:rRNA from 1 species